CUUCCAGCAGGCUUAUCUUUGAGACAAGCAUAUGACUACUGGCAGGAUCAACCAGGUAGCAUUCCUCUUUGCUUCCGGCACCGCAUGAACAAAAGGACAGAUAUAGUCCUCCAGUCAAAACGGGUCACGUCAGGCUUCCGUGAGGGACAAUUGAUUCGGGCUAAAAAGGGACAAAGGGCCCCGACCGAUCAUGCAUCUACAUACAAGACUUCGAGCAACACUUGGGCGGCCGCUGCUUGCAAGCUAAUUAAGCGAAGCAAGGGUGGACGUCCAUUAGGAGCUUCAAGGUCUAUGUCGCACAAAACAUUUCGCACGAGAUAGAAUAGGGGCCAUGGGACUAGAGAAUUCCAUCAGUAUAGGUAUGCUAUACAGGGGGCCAAGCCAAUCCAAGGCAAAAUAUUUAGCACUCGGACAUAAUUGAAUAGGUUUGAACCAGCGAUUGUCGCUGCCAAGGCAGGGAACCAACCAGCCGAAACAUACCAAUCACCACUCACACCCCCCGAUGA
rnacentral:misc_RNA from 1 species